GCAACUUUCUUCUCCCAUAGACCAUGGAUGUACGGAGAUUGCACAGAAACGAGAGCAAACACGAUGAACAUUUAAACUGGAAACCCUUUAUUCUCACUUGCAGCGCAUAUGAGAGAUGACACUUUCUGUGGUCACAUCCUCACCCCAGACCAACUCACACCCUCUCCCAUUAUGAGUAUGAGCCGCAGAUAUCUGGCUUUCAUCUUCGGGCUCUUCAAGGUGUUUGGAUUCGAGUUGUUUUGCCAUCAUUAUCAUUGUCAGGAUGCGGAGAGAAAAGACAUGGUUGAUCAAGUCCAGAGUGAAUUCUUGGAAUUCCAGUUUCAGCACAAACAUGUAGGGGGGCCUAUUUUGUUUUGUUCUGCCAUCACUAUCCUACCAGCAUAAUUUUCAGUCAACAUGCAAGCUACGGUUAUGGUUUCUAGGAGCAGUAACAUUUGUCAGAUAUCAGAUGAUCAGAGACUUCAUAUAAUCGAGGGUCUAAGGAUAGAGGAUAUUGUAUUGCUGUACAGACUGUACACACC